AUUGAACGCUGGCGGCAGGCCUAACACAUGCAAGUCGAGCGGCAGCGGGAAGUAGCUUGCUACUUUGCCGGCGAGCGGCGGACGGGUGAGUAAUGUCUGGGAAACUGCCUGAUGGAGGGGGAUAACUACUGGAAACGGUAGCUAAUACCGCAUAACGUCGCAAGACCAAAGAGGGGGACCUUCGGGCCUCUUGCCAUCAGAUGUGCCCAGAUGGGAUUAGCUAGUAGGUGGGGUAAUGGCUCACCUAGGCGACGAUCCCUAGCUGGUCUGAGAGGAUGACCAGCCACACUGGAACUGAGACACGGUCCAGACUCCUACGGGAGGCAGCAGUGGGGAAUAUUGCACAAUGGGCGCAAGCCUGAUGCAGCCAUGCCGCGUGUAUGAAGAAGGCCUUCGGGUUGUAAAGUACUUUCAGCGGGGAGGAAGGUGUUGAGGUUAAUAACCUCAGCAAUUGACGUUACCCGCAGAAGAAGCACCGGCUAACUCCGUGCCAGCAGCCGCCGUAACAC
rnacentral:rRNA from 1 species